AACGAACGCUGGCGGCAGGCUUAACACAUGCAAGUUGACCGCGUGUAGCAAUACACGAGUAGCGCACGGGUGCGUAACGCGUGGGAACCUUCCUCGUAGUUCGGAAUAACUCAGGGAAACUUGAGCUAAUACCGAAUGCCUCCUCCGGGAGAAAGAUUUAUCGCUACGAGAUGGGCCCGCGUCAGAUUAGGUAGUUGGUAGGGUAACGGCCUACCAAGCCGACGAUCUGUAGCUGGUCUGAGAGGAUGAUCAGCCACACUGGGACUGAGACACGGCCCAGACUCCUACGGGAGGCAGCAGUGGGGAAUAUUGGACAAUGGGGGCAACCCUGAUCCAGCCAUGCCGCGUGAGUGAAGAAGGCCUUCGGGUUGUAAAGCUCUUUCGACGGGGACGAUGAUGACGGUACCCGUAUAAGAAGCCCCGGCUAACUUCGUGCCAGCCGCCGCAGUAA
rnacentral:rRNA from 1 species